rnacentral:lncRNA from 1 species
UAGAUUAAAUUUCCAAUCUAUAAAGUAAAAAUUACUUUCUAUAAAAUGCAAUUAUGGCAAAACAAUCAAGAAAUUUACAGCUAAAAAUUAAGAUGGGACCCCUACCUUUUUUAUCUUUAAUGCUUGGGGACUCGCUGUCUGCUCUACCCUAAUUGGUAGACUCGCUUCCUCCGAUGUCUGAAUCGGAAGAAGCUACGGCGUUGGCGCCUCCGCCGCCCCCGCCGCCGCUGGAGCAGAAUUCGCCGCCGCCCCAGUCGAAAGAGGGGCCUCCCAGAGAGCCUAGCCCCGACGUCGCCUUUCGCGUCUGGCCUCCGACGCGGACCACGCGCGACGCAAUCGUCUCGCGCCUCGUGGGACGUUGUCGGCCCCAUCGGCGCUCUCCACUCGCUACGGCACCCUGCCCCGGGACGAGGCGGCGUCCAUCGCCCGCGCCAUCGAGCAGGAGGAGUACGCCGCCGCCUCCGCCGACGACGACGGCCCGGACGUCCUCCAGGCGUACGCCAGGGCGAUCGCCAGGCGCAAGCUGAUCUCCGUCCAGCCGCGCACCGCCCGGGACCGCGGCUCCUUCCCGCCGAAGACCCCCGAAGUGUUAGAUGUCCGCGCUUCCUUCGAUUCCGAGGUCGAAAAGUCGUCUUCUAUUUGAGGUGGGGAGUUCUGCUUCCUUUAGAUGACAAGCUUGGGGUUUUGAGGUAGUACAGUGAAGUGAAGUAGUUUGUCUGAUAGGAUAGUAUGUGUUGCCGUUUGCUGUGGAUUUGUGCAUAAUUUCGUUUGACCUUUGCUCGAGGAGUAAUGUUGAUCUCGUAUGUGUUGUAAUUAGGGUAACGUGAACGUCUGAAAGCCUCUCAAUUGUUGAUUUGCCAUGAGGAAAGGCUCUCUUUCUGUGCUAGAUUGCACUUUUUGUUUGGUUGUGAUCGCCCUUGAAAUUCUUUGGCCCUCUGUUUUGAUAAAUUUUCCGACUUUAAAUUGGGCUACAGAACUGUUUCUUAGGGAUUAUAGUCAUUGGAUCACCCCAGAUUUCGAAGUGUGCAUCGUAAUGUGAUACCUAGCAAUGUCAACGUGUAGUGUGGCUACGGACCGCGUAAUUCAAGAACAGUCCCUUGAGGGCUUGGGGACAUAGAAAGGCCCUUAUGAACUACAGUCUCAUCUGUCUUCUCCAUGCAAGCUUUUUCUGUUGAAAAUCGGAUGUGGACCUGUUCGUCACUAGCCGUACAUACCGUGAAGAGUACAGUCAUUAUCUUGAAUGUAAGCAUGUGUGUCCAAAUGUGGAAAUUAACUUGACCGAAUUUGGUGGAAGUUUGAGCAAUGGUGAGCACUAAUGAGAGUAAAGUGGCAAAAUCUAAUCAAAACCAUUUUCAACAGCUUUCUGGUGCAGCUUGGUUUAUGGUUUUAAGCCUCUAAACCCUUUACUUCAAGUUGCCUUUUUUCGACAAAAAAAAAAAAAAAAGUUGCCUUUCAUCUUAAUUUGGGCUUGAGGUGGCUUGCUUCGGCUGUUUCCUAUUAGGCUAUGGUGAUUGUUGAAACUUGGGCGUAAUAACUACAAAGGUUAUCAUUAAUGAAGGUCCUUAACAGCUUUGACGAGAUGCAUUUGCAACGCAGGAACAAGCAGAGCUUGGCUCCUGAAGAGGAUGUUGUUCCUCGUCUUCCAAAUUACAUGACAAAGGGUCCCAAAGGCAAACCGGGCAAUACAAUGCGCAAAAUCAUUGUAGAAGAGAGAUUUGAUAGCCCAUUGUAAAUUUUCCAUCCACGACCUAUUUUGCCAAGGGAGAUUGCAUCUUGCAAUCGAAAACACAGCAAGACCAGCGAUAAUAUGAUAGCCAAAAAACAGAUGAUCAAUUGAAUCUGGCCUUAAGUUACAAAAAGAACAAGCGCCACCAGCAAUCCUACCAUAGGAAAGUAAGAGAACUUGAGUAGGUAACCAGUUUCUGAUAGGGGUGUGCAUAGUCCGGGCGGGCGAUUCCCGACCUAGAACUGGGAACCGCCCACUAAGAAUCAGUUCUGAAAAAUUGGAACCGGCCGGUCCGGUUCCCGAGUGAAUCCAUAGAACCGAUCUUGACGCGAAACAAUUUUGGUUUUCAACAUAGAACAGUCGAGUCUAUGAGUUAGGAAGGAGGGCAGGAGGUCUAUGGUCGGGUUUUCAACAUAGAACGGUCGCGAAACAAUUUUCUACGAUUGUGGCGGGUGGUGGCCGACGCGAAGGGGCGAACAGCAGCGGCAGAGGAGCAGCGGCGGCGGUGUUGACGCUCGAGAAGGAAUCGAAAUGGCGAUAGGACUAGGAGGAACCGAGGAAGAGACAAAGAGAGAGAGAACUAAAGACGAAGGGAGUGAGGAUAUGAGAUCUAAUCUAGGGUUUCUUUUAGUAAUUUUUUUUUUAAUAUUAAAAAGGUUCCGGUCUGAUCCGGGUGGGCGGAUCCGCCCAUGGAACCGGGAACUGGACCGGUACCCACCGGUUUCGAAAAAUUGGAACCGAGAACCGACCAAUUCCCUCAAGAACCGCCGAUUCCAGGCGGUUCCGGUCCGGUUCCGGGUGGUUCGGGCGAUUCCCGGGUAUUUUGCACACCCCUAGUUUCUGGUGAUGAGCCAGAGGUGGAACCAGUACUUAGGGGAGAUAGUUUUAUUCUAGACGAAGGAGGACCACGGGACCGAGCAUUUCUUUCGAUGAAUAGCUUCCCAAGCAGAAGAAACCGAGUAGGAUCCUGAGGAGUGUUCCAGCCAACAGAAUCAAUUUGGGUGCUGCGUUAGUAUAGGGAGGGUAUGAGUCCACGAAUUUAGGAUGGCCCUGGUGGCUUGGCCUUGCAAGGAGAAGAGGUCCACAACUGCAGCCUGUCUGGAUAAGCCCGAAUGGUAGAUGUCAGCAUCCGUGAAGAAAAUGUUCAUGGGUUCUCGGGGGUGCCAAGGAUCAAAGCAAAGGGACACCGAGCAACCGUCGCCUAUCCGCCAAUUGAAGAACUUCUGGAAUUCCCUCCUAAGGUUGAGAAUUUUCUUCCAAGCCCGGGAACAAAAGGUUGGCUUUUUAACAACCCAAAAGUUUGUUUUGUAAAAGGUCUAUUUUUCUUUUUAAUUUUGAGUAUGAGAUUUUUUAAUCGUUAUUUCAUGAUCUCAAUGCAUGUGAGUCUGAUGCAUGUGGACCCAAUUUAUAUGGACCAUUCAAUCAUACGGUCUCAUGUGGAAUCCUUUUCAUCAGCCGGGCCAUUAGACUAGGCUCAUAUUCAAUGACUUAUAUGCACCUAAGAUCAUGCAUGUUUCUUUCAUCAAUAGUGGCCGCCAUUUAGAUUGUUAUAGAUUGCAAAGUAGAAAGAAGAGAAAGGACAAAAUGAAAGAACAUUUAUAGAGUGCAAUACGCAUAGAAAUGUCAAUCACACAAGUUGAUUCUUCUGUCAUGUGUGCCGUAAUUGAUCUAGGUAAAAUUCUAUUUUUCCUUACACAUGUUUUCUAACUCCAAUCGAUUUGAGCUGAGUACCCAUCGAACCAUACUAAAGUAUGUCGUCUAAAUAAAAUGUCAUCAUUGACAAUCCACCAUAGAAAAUCUUAUACAUCUGCAUGAUGUAGAUAAAUGUUGCACUUUUACAUGAACAAGACCAUAAGAGCAGCCAAUUAUUGAUACUAACUUAAACCGAACCUUUUCCUUUGCAUUUUCCUCUUUACAUCUGAACCUUAUUGUUCUUUAGUUUGGAAAACAAGUUUCGUCUAUUUUUGAAACAACUGAGCAUACACAGUUACUUAAACACAAUUCGCGACAGUCAAUGCAAUGCGGGCACGAACACAUCCGUGGUAACAAUAGAUGGGCCAUGUCCCUCCUACUCAACCAUUCGGACGUCAUGAAAAAAGCUCAAGUAGAACUAGACGACAUCGUUGGUUGAGACUAUCUAGCUAAUGAAACAAACAUCCACAAGAUACCUUGCCUUCAUAACAUUAUCAACAAGGCACUUUGGUUGUUUCUACUGGCGCCACUCCUAAUACCUCGCAAAUUCUUUGAGGACUACAUAAUUAGCAAAUUCGAUGUUGCGAUAGCUAGUAUAAGCACCUAGAGGGGGGUGAAUAGGUGCACAAACAAUUUAUCUAGAUAUAGAAGCGAUUCUUGACAAAUGAUAGAAAUGAAGUUUGUUAUGAAGUGCGAUCAAGCUAAAGAGAGUAAGGAAGAGAAAAUUAAACACAGAGUUUAUAGUGGUUCGGCUUAUUCCAAGCCUACGUACACUCUUCCGCACUGACAGCCUACCAGCUGGAUUUCACUAUGAUCAAAAGAGAAGUUACAGCACAGCUUUGCCUUGAUUCCACAGUGUAGAUGUUCUACCACACCUCCUCAAGGUUUCUCACAAAUAUAGACUCUCUUUUGUAUACAAGUAUUCGCUCAAAGUGAUUGUCUAAACAAAAAGGAGCUUCAGACUUUGGAAUUCUUCUAUCGCGCACACCUCAAACAACUAAGACCUUCUUCCUUAUAUACUCCUUUAUGCCAUCAUACCCGUUGGCACUUUCCAAAGGAAUUCCUCCAAUCUACCCGUUGGACGGAAUCAAUUAGGAAGAUUGUUCGAGCUAUUAAAGGAACAUGUCGAUAGCCCAUCAAUCAUGUUCGCCCAUACAAUCAGGAUCUCGGUUUCCAUAAGUAAAACCUUCCAAGAAUAUUUAGGCAAUUAUCGAAUCUUCAAUCAUCGAAUCAAUCUCGAUCAAUCAAAGGAUUUCGUUACGUCUUCUCCAGCCACGAGAUCUUCUCCAGUUGAUAAGAUUAAAUCCUUCACGGAACAUCCAGUUCUGGAUAACUUUUCUUCAACGGAUUAGAGACUGUCAAUGAGGAUAGACUUUGAGUCUUGAGUCUGGCUGUCCGGAGGUCUUCAAACUUUAAAUAGCAGAGUCUGCAAGCCUUCAGACUAGACUGAUGGAAACGUUUUGUCAACUUCAAAAUACUUUAAGAAGAUUUCUCCAACAGAUGUGCCUCGGGGCACCAUGAUCCUAGUAAAUGCAUGGGCAAUUCAAAGAGACCCAAAAGUGGGACAAUCCAUUGUUGCCGUUUGCGAUUGGGAGGGGAUCGUGCAUAUCUAUUGUUGUCGUUUGGGAUGGGAGGAGGAGUUGUCCUAGUGCUAGCCUCACCAAUAGAGUGGUGAGUUUGGCAAUAGUGGUGCUUCUUCAACACUUUGAGUGGGAAUGAUUUGGCAAUGAGCUCAAGGACUUGUUGGAAGGGAGGGACUUGUUGGAAGGGACAAGACUGACCAUGCCCAAAAGAUAGUGUCGCGACCUAUCCCACCGAGGAGGGAAUAGGUCUAAGGGUAUUGCCUAAAAGGCGAGCCUACGGCCUGAUUAAACACGGGUUCUUUCGAACCCAUAUCUUGCGCAACAUUGAGCGAUCAAAUUGAGGAUAUAAAAAUUUUAUAAAAGAGUUGACAUUAGCUCAUUGGAGUUGGCUAAAAACCAAGUGAAGUAUGUGAGUGUUUCUAACUUCUGACGCAAUCAGGGAAUCUAGGGUUGGGGUCUUAAUCUUAUUCAUUUAAAAAAAAAGAUUUUUUAGUGUUGAUUAAUUUUAUAUCUAUCAACUAACAUGCGAGGGGACUAUCAGGUGAGAAAAGAGAUCAGGAAUCGCUACUUCGGGAGAAAGGAGGAAAACGUCCAACCUUACGGAGACCGAGGGGGACUGCCGACUAAGUAGGGCCUGAGGCCCCCUGCGAAUCCGUAAAUCUAAAGAGCAUGCCGCAACAAAAGGAUGGUCCCACAAUCAACAAUCAAGGAAAGUAUUAAAUAAAUUGCAAGGCAAAGGAGGCAUUUAGCACUAAUAAAUAAAAAAGAUACCAUUAUUAACUAAGCCAAGGUAAACGGCAACUAGUAUAUUGAAAGCACGUAGUAGAUUAAUAACUUGUCUUAGAAAAAGAAAACAAUGAAACCCUAUCACAAAGCUCUAAGAGUUUGUUUAAUUUUGAGUGCAAUUUUUUAUCAAAAGAUUUUCACAUUUUUUAUACUAAACUAGUUCUAAACCAAAAUUAACAUGAAAAAUCUAAUGAAACUAGUCAAAAUCUAAUUUCUAAAGAUUUUAUAAUUAUUUUUAGCUUUUUCCAAAGAUUUCUGAUAUUUUGAAAAAAAAAAAAAAACGCUCAGGCUUGGUCAAAGGAUCCGGCCUGAAUAGGCAUUUUCAUCAAAGCAAGCCCAAAUUUCCUAUUUUCCUUUUAAGUGAUCUAAGCCCAAAACCUAAGCCGGCCCCGCACGCUUAGUCCAGAUUCAUAAAAAUUCUAACCCAUGUUUCUAUUAUUUUAUUAUUCAAUUUUUUUUUUCAUCUUUCCCUUUUUUUAUUUAUUUCCUUUUUCUUGUUCGUCCUCCCCUCCUCACUUCUCAUGAACGUCUGCACUCACGUCAUGCCCAGAGCCCAGCAGAUCAACAUAUUCACUCAUCCUAAGCAAAAGCCGGCAAGAUUAAAAACUAAACCUCCAUCGUUCUUACUGAAGAUGCAAAACCGAGCGCUUCUCAUUUGUCCACCACCCAUUCCCACCCUCUACAAAAGUCACGGUUGGCUAUUGUCCCUCACCGAAAUGACGAACGCAAAACACACCACGCACACGAAAGUAACCGUAACGAAGAACAGAAGCGAUGAAUCGAGACAAUGACCUAUAAAAACUAACAAAAUGUGAACAAAGGGAUCUACAGUUUUAGCAAGAAGGACAUAACUUUUAUGGGUAUCAUAGACACGUUUCAUCGAACAUCCGGUGGGCGUCGACUGGAGGGCAAACGAUAACUCGACCGGGACAUCAAAAGGCGACCGAGAUAGAAAUAGACAAUCAAGCAGGGUCUGGAGGUAACAAAACGUAGCACCGUAGGGGUCGGAACUCGAUCGAACCGAAGAACCGCGAGCCCCGGUCCAGCGGCUUGAAAAUGGAGCGACGCGGAGGGGCACCUAUGCGCUCGGGUGAUAGGGGCCCUACCUUCGCCCUCUCAAUCGUUCUCUCAAAUCUCCUCCGCGGUUCUCUCUCCCCGAAGAAGAGGAAAACCAGCCAAGAACCACCCAUCUCACUUGCUCCCCUCUCGCUUUCAAGCCUGGCCGACAGACGCACAUGGCCCCUGCCAUCCCCAGCUUUCUUGCCGGCGUCAUCGCUCCCCCUCUGCCUCUUUACCUCCUCUCUCUUUUUUGCAGACCGCGUGCGAUGCGUGGGGGAGAAGGAGGAGGGAAGAGGUUCGCAGGCUGGGCCAUGGCCUAAAGGAGGAAGGAAAAAGAAAGUAGGCCAGGCCGACCUGCCCCCGGCCCGGUCUUGCUUUUUUUUUUUUUUUUAAUUCGAUCUUUUUUUUUAUCGAUUUUUGUUAAAAUUUUAAUAAUUAGCGAAAGUAAUGUAACUGCUCCUAAUGUCUACAUGCAAUGCAUCUUAAUGAAGACAUUCGUGAUGAAAAUUAUUUAUUUAAUUUUUUCUUUUAAUUGAUUAAUUUUUUAAUAAUAAAUUUUUUAACUUAAUUUUAAAAAUUCAGAUUUUCUUUUUUUAAUUAAUAGUACUGAUGCUAAUGCUCCUAACGUCUACAUGUGAUGCAAUUUAGUGAAAAUUAAUUUUUAUUUAGGGGUUCAAAAUUGAUCACGUAUUUUUUACGCAAUUUUGUCAUAAAUAAAAUGGUAAAAUUUAUGUGUUAAUUGAUAGUCAUCGUAGGCUAUAUGCAAAGUGCGCGAAUGUGUUAUUGCUAAUAUUCUUGCACAUUCUCCAAUGAAUUUAUUUUGCUUUUGUUCAACCACCCUAAUUCCUAUGAACUAAUAUUUAACGACAUAGUAAAUUUGUACAAAUGAAAUGAGGUGGAAAUGAAUGGAAGCGGAAAAAAAAUCAAAGUAGAGUGCAAUGGAAUAAAGAAAUUCAAAUAAUUAUUGCGGUCAAACUCUUAGGCGGGAACAGUCACUAAAUGUGUUGACUGACCUUUGCGAUCAAGAAAUUAUCAAAAUCGAGCCAAUGAGUUACUAUAGUGAUGCUCCACUAUACGAUCGAAGGAGCCAAAAAUCUGAUUUCACCGAGUGGGAAACGAUUAUUAAGAGAGGCUAGCCACUCCUGCAUUAUAAAAGGAGCGCUUCUAAAGUGGAAAGGACAUGCACAGUCAUCCAAAGAACAAGCUUUAUUUUUGUCAACGCACUUGCGAUUUAUUUCCAGUCAUUUUCGAAAAAAUCAUUUCUAGUAAUUGCAGAUGUUUAUUUUCUUUAUUAAUCAAACUUAUGCCCUUGUUAUGUCUAAAAGAUUUGCGUUUGCAAUGACCGAUGUACAAAAAAAAUUCUACAUGACAAAUAAUUACUUAUUGCAAUUGUAAGUCACGAAUGUAUAAAUAACAAAUAUAUAUAUAGGCAACAUAGAGUUCGGUAUAUUACUUUCUGCUAAUAAUUAUGAUAUACGUAGCAUUAUUCCAAUGGUCUUAAGUGUGAAAAAAUUAGACCCCACAAACUCUAUAAACUAAAUAGAACCGACAUGUGACACGUUAUUUUUCAAAAAAUAAAAAAUUCCUACAUAUUGAAACACGUUGUAUAUUAUAUGUAUAUUUAUAUAUUAUUUUUAUGAUUAGUUCAAUCAAAUUAAUCUUAUUCAAAUUCUUAAAUAAAUAAAUAAGUAAUAAUAAAAUCAUAUAAUAAAUUUACAUUAAAAACAUUAAUCCACCAUUUAUUAAUAUUCUUCAUUUUUCAAUUUGAUAAAUUUAACUCCAUUUCAAUAAAUCCAUAAAGCUUGGAAGAAAAAAAAAGUAAUUCACAUUUUAAACUUGCGCGUUAGACGUAUCGAAAAGAAAAAAACUUGAGAGUAAAAUAUGUAUCACGAAAAGUGAGAGUCAAAAGAAAAGAGAAAAAAAUAUCAUGUUUUUCUUCUUUCCUAAUUUUUUUAUUUUUAUUAUUGAUAUAUAUAUAGACCCUUCAUUUAUUGAAAAUUUCUAAAAUCGACAUCGUAUGUCGGAAUCAUGUGGUGAAAACUCAUAUAUAAGAAUUUCAACUUGAGUGUUGAAGAGCGUUGAAAAAAUUGAUUAGGUGUCGGAUUUUUUGACACGUAUUGGUCGAGUGUCAGAGAGUGUCCGAGAGUAUCGGACACGUGUCGAAAUGUCCUACAUGACACGAAAACUCCCUGCGAGUGGGUGCUUCUUAAUCUAUAAAAAUCUCUAGCCUAUUGCAACUCUCUCCCCACCCACUCUCUCUCUCUCUCUCUCUCUCUCUCUCAAAAGAAAUUAUUGCAAACGACAGAAGUCUCUACUCCAUAGCAUCUUCAUGGACGACUUGUGGGUGCACAUCAUCUCAGCAUCCUUCGUCCUCUUCCUUCUCUUCUUGUUCAAAUUGCAGAGAAGCAACAAGAGGAAUCUCCCACCGAGCCCACCUUCACUUCCUAUCGUCGGCCACCUCCUCCUUAUCAAAGAGCCGGUCUACCGGACCCUCCAGUCUCUCUCCGACCGCUACGGCCCGGUCCUCUCCCUCUCCUUCGGCUCCCGCUCUGUGGUCGUCAUAUCCUCCCUGUCCUCGGCCGAGGAGUGCUUUACCAGGAAUGACAUCAUCCUUGCCAACCGCCCCCGCUUGCUCUCCUCUGAGAUUAUGCUCUACGGCAACACCACCAUCGGCUCCACCUCCUACGGCCCCCACUGGCUCAACCUCCGCCGCCUCACCCUCAAAAUCCUUUCCCCCCACCGCCUUGCUGGCUCCCUCGCCGUCCGGCUGGAGGAAGUGAGGCUCCUCGUGAAGAGCCUCCAUGAGGUGGCUAUGGCAGUAGCAGGGGGCGGCGGUUCCACGAGGGUGGAGCUGAGGCCGAGGCUGCAAGAGCUGUCCUUCAACAUCAUCAUGAGGAUGAUCUCUGGGAAGCGCUACCUUGGGCCUACUGUCGAUGCAGGCGAUGCCGAGGUGGGCAUGCGGUUUUUAGAGGUGAUAAGUGAGCAUUUCGAGCUGAGCGGGACGGACCCGAGUGAUUUCUUAUCAGCGCUGAGGAUGGUGGCGGACUUCAAGGGGAGAGAGAGGAGGAUGGAGGACGUUGCCAAGAGGGCUGAUGUGAUAUUGCAGGGCCUGAUAGACGAGCUCAGGUCGAGAAUGAAGAGAAGCAACGGUGGCCGAGAGGUGGAGAGCAAGACGAUGAUCGAUUCCAUGCUGUUGGAGGGCUACUCGGACGAUAUCAUCAAAGGGCAUAUCCUGGUAUGUGCUUAAAACGUGUUCUGUUCACUUGACUUAUGCAGCCCUGUAUUCAAGAGAUUGUGACUAAAUUCUUUCGGCGCUCACCAUCAGAAGAAAAUAUGUGACGGGUCAUUCGUCGCACUAUGGCCUUGCGAGGUUAAAGUCUAAGAGCACGGGGUUUGUUUGGAAAGAAGGGAAACGAGAGGCGGAGGGAGCAAAUAAUUUUCUAUGAUCGUUAGGUUUCCUCUGAUACAUCCACCUUCAUGAAUUUAAAACGUGAAAAACGCCGUCUCCUUUUAGCAUAUUACAAAUGAAUACUUAAUUUUUUUUUCUAUACUUGACAGAAUUCAAAACUACUUUCACAUUUAUAAUUCGUCUAGUAAAAGGUCUUUUUUUUUAAUUUUCUAUUUAGAGUAUGUGAUUUUUUUUUCUUAUUCAUUAUUGCAUCAUCUCAAUGUAUGUACACCGUUAGAUCAUAUGAUCUCAUGCGGAAUCCUUUUCAUCCACCGGUACGGUGAAUUGACCUCAUAGCCGAGACCAUGCAUUUUUCUUUCUUCAGGAGUGACCACUGUCUAGAUUGUUGUAGAUGACAAAGUAGAAAGAAGAGAAAGGACAAUAUGAAAGAAAUUUUAUAGGGUGCAACACGUGUAGAAAUGUCGAUUGCACAAGUCAUUGAGUCUUCUGUUGUGUGUACGGUAAUUGAUUUAAGUCAAAUUCUAUUUUUCUUUCUUGAACUUAUGCAUGUUUUGCAAUUCCAAUCGAUUUGGGCUGAGUAGCCAUCAAUCCAUGCUAAAAUAUGUCGUCUAAAAAACUAUCGCCGUUGACACGCCCACCAUAGAAUAUCACUUCUAUUUUUCUUUCUUGAACUCAUGCAUGUUUUGCAAUUCUAAUCGAUUUGGGCUGAGUAGCCAUCGAUCCAUGCUAAAAUAUGUCGUCUAAAAAACUAUUGCCGUUGAGACGCCCACCAUAGAAUAUCACUUCUAUUUUUCUUUCUUGAACUUAUGCAUGUUUUGCAAUUCCAAUCGAUUUGGGCUGAGUAGCCAUCGAUCCAUGCUAAAAUAUGUCGUCUAAAAAACUAUUGCCGUUGACACGCCCACCAUAGAAUAUCACUUCUAGAUCUACAUGAUGCAUGAAAUAGAUAAAUUAUGCGCUUAUACAUGAACAAGAACAUAAGAGUGGCCAAUUAUCUUUUCCUGAGCGUUUUCCUCUUUGUAUAUGAACCUGAUUUUUCUUCAGUUUGGAAAACACAUUUCAUCUAUUUUUGAAAAAAUUGAGCAUACUUAGUUACUUAAACACAAUUUGUGGCAGUCAUUGCUAAUUGCAGGCACGGACACAAGUGCAGUGACAAUAGAAUGGAUCAUGUCCCUCCUACUCAACCAUCCGAAUGUCAUGAAAAAAGCUCAAGUAGAAUUGGACGAAGUUGUUGGCCGAGACCGUCUGCCUAAUGAAACAGACAUCCACAAGCUACCUUGCCUUCACAACAUCAUCAACGAGGCAUUCCGAUUGUUUCCACCGGCACCUCUCUUAGUGCCUCAUGAGUCUGCUGAGGAUUGCAUGAUUGGCGGGUUCAAUGUGCCCCGAGGCACCAUGAUCCUGGUAAAUGUAUGGACAAUUCAUAGAGACGCAAAUGUGUGGGACGAUCCCACAAGUUUUAAACCUGAGAGGUAUGAGGGACUGAAAGGGGAUCAAGCGUACCGUUUGUUGCCAUUUGGGAUGGGAAGGAGGAGUUGUCCCGGUGCUAGCCUUGCCAAUAAAGUGGUGAGUUUGGCUUUAGCGGCGCUUAUUCAGUGCUUAGAGUGGGAACGAGUUGGUGAAGAGCCAGUGGACUUGUCUGAGGGGACGGGACUCACAAUGCCCAAGAGAGAGCCAUUGGAGGCUAUGUGCAAAGCGCGCGGAUGCAUGAUUGCCAAUGUUCUUGCACAACUUUGAGAAGGCUGCUCCUCAGUGAAUUUAUUUUGGUGAUGUUCCACCGACAUAAUGCUUAUGAACUAAUGUGCAAUAAAAAAGUAAAAUGGUAGGAAUAAAAUGAGGUGGAAAUGAAUGGAGGUAAAAUAAACUCAAAGUAAGAGUGGAAUGGAAUAAGAAUUCUAGCUGUUGUGUCUGAUGAUAAUGUAUUAAUGAAAUGCCCAUUCAGAUGGACUUUCAGUAGGUCUUUGAAUGGUCUCAGAAUACUUUAGACCAUUUGUAUUGUAAGAUGAUAUGUGUGUUUGAAGUCAAGACUUGCUAUUAACUAGAGUUGCUAGGUGAUUGUCAUCUUCUUGGUGUCCUCCGGAUCUCGAGGUUUGAGGGGCAUCUCCUCUAGACAAGAUAUGAGUCCCUAGACAAAUCCAAUGUCAUGGGGUUAUAGGUUACCGCGUAAGUACCAAGAGAGGUCCUUGGUAUACUCUAGAUUUCAAGGCCUUGGGAAAGAGAUGGAUUCACUGUUGUCGUUGUGAUGGGUCUGAUGGCAAAACGACAUGACGAAGCUGAUGAAGUUAUCGAGAGAGAGAGAGAGCAAAGCCAGGCAGUGAUGUCAACCAUAGUGGCCGAUGGCAACAGGUGGCGGCUACUAGCGGCGGUGGACGGUGGCUCUGCAUAGGACCAAGAAUGAGUGAUCUUUUAUGGGUUCGCAUCGUUAACGCCUCACGAUAUUUACUCGAAGUGAGUUGCUCAUACCUGAUAGUUCGAGUCCGGCAUUAUAAUCGGUACAUAUCCUGCUCUUGGUGGAAUGAUUGCCACUAGUUUCUUGGUGCCUCUGCGUAGGUUUCUUUGCUAGGUGCGACUUCGUUUUUUUUUAUCUUCUCGAACAAUUUUACUAAGACGGAACGCUAUUCUUGGAAGCAUCUCCUUCAGCUGUCUUUCCUAGCUUGCCGUAAACCCACGCUCGCUUUCCCAUGGCGGACUGGUCUCGAUGAUCACUUUCAAAAUUCUUGGUCUCCCACUGAAAACUAGUUGCUUUCUGGUGAGAGUUCUUUAAACUUGGCUUUCUUGGUGGGUUGCUUUCACUGUGCCAGCUCCGAAAAUGAAGGUAUUUGCGCCUAGUCGAUUGUUCAUUCGGGGUCUGCCAACUAUUUUAAAAACUUUCAAGCGUAAGCUAGCAACUAUUCCAAAAGCUCUCACGUGUAGGUUGGAGUUUGACUUUAGCCUAAAAUGGUGAAAAUAUGCGAUGGAGAGACAAAUAGGUCUGGGGUUUGCCAACUAUUUUAAAAGCUUUCAUGUGUAGGCUGGAAACUAUUCUAGCAGCUUUUACAUGUAAGCUGGAAUUUGACGUAAGCCUAAUAUUCUAACAGCUUUUACAUGUAAGCUGGAAUUUGACCUAAGCCUAAAACGUGGAAAUGUGCAAUUGGCGAGACAAAUAAGGACCUAGAAUAUUCGAAUUCAGGAUCUCCUAAUUGUAAUACCACGUGAUAUCAAUGUCAAUUACUUUAGAAGCUUAAAUUGUUAAAUAAACACAUAACUUAUUAUUUAAAUAUUUUAACACUUUCUCUCUGCUUUCAUUGGUGUUAGCUAUGAAGAAACGAGAAAGAAAGGGUCGUGAAAAGAAAUGAUUAUGUUAGUGAGUGCUCUAAGCACACUUGUCAAGCAACUAAUUAAGCAAACUCUAUGGUUUUCAAUGCAUCGAUUGCCUUUCCAUUAUGCACAAUCAGUGUCUUUAAAUUAAAUUAUUUCAGAUAAAGUAUACUUAAUGAGUGCCCACCGUGACCCAUAUUUUAAAAUGGAUCUUGACCAUUUAACAUGAUUACUCUCAAAUGAAGUUCAUGCGGAUCAAUGCAGACCAUUUAAACGCAUCAGUACAAUGUGGCAGUGAUUAAAAAUUUCCUUGUUGGUAAGCAACGUCAUGAAUCAGUACAUCCCCUGCUCGGGGAAAUUCUCUGGUCCUGUCUAGCAAUUUACGAAACCGGUCCGAUUAUUGUGGGGAAAAUUUCAAAUGGCGGAUGACUUUAAAAAAGAUAAUAACAUUAAUAUUUAAGGAAAUAAUUGACAACAAAAUUGUCAAUUUCAUCAAGUUGAGUAUGAUUUUUCAUAGAAAGUUGCUGAGAUUUGAAUGUGUAGGCUUGAAGGUAAAUAAUUGCAUAUAAGGGAUGGUUUUCUAACUUUUCAUCGACAAGAACUUAUAAAGCAACCACCAUUAUUAAAGAAAAACUUAUAUUAAUAAUAAUAUUCUUACGUUACAAACUCUAUGAAUAAAUUUGACUCUUUUAUCUUUUUGAGUGUAUGGUUGUAGGUGUCGGGUCUCUAACCUUGUACAUCCGUUGGCAAAGUCUAUACAAUACUUACCUUUACCAAAAAAAAAAAAAAAAAACUCUAUGAAUAAAUUAUCAUCAUAAAUGGAUGUUUGUACUUACAUGUGCAAAUAAAAUACAACUAAAUACAUGUAAAUUACGACCAAUAGAGUAAAAUCAGGUUAACAUUCUAGUGUUACAAACUCUAUAAAUAAAUCAUCGCUAUAAAGGUAUAUACUACUAGUUAUAGAUGCAGAUUUAUUAUGGUCACUAGAUUAAAUUUCCAAUCUAUAAAGUAAAAAUUACUUUCUAUAAAAUGCAAUUACGGCAAAACAAUCAAGAAAUUUACAGCUAAAAAUUAAGAUGGGACCCCUACCUUUUUUUAUCUUUAAUGCUUGGGGACUCGCUGUUUGCUCUACCCUAAUUGGUAGACUCGCUUCGUGCUCUACUCCCGAUCCUCCGAUGUCUGAAUCGGAAGAAGCUACGGCGUUGGCGCCGCCGCCGCCGCCGCCGCCGCCGGAGCAGAAUUCGCCGCCGCCCCAGUCGAUAGAGGCGCCUCCCAGAGAGCCCAGCCCCGACGUCGCCUUUCGCGUCUGGCCUCCGACGCGGACCACGCGCGACGCGAUCGUCUCGCGCCUCGUGGAGACGCUGUCGGCCCCAUCGGCGCUCUCCACUCGCUACGGCUCCCUGCCCCGGGACGAGGCGGCGUCCGUCGCCCGGGCCAUCGAGCAGGAGGAGUACGCCGCCGCCGUCGCCGCCGCCUCCGCCGACGACGACGGCCCGGACGUCCUCCAGGCGUACGCCAGGGCGAUCGCCAGGCGCAUGCUGAUCUCCGUCCAGCCGCGCACCGCCCGGGACCGCGGCUCCUUCCCGCCGAAGACCCCCGAAGUGUUGGAUGUCCCCGCUUCCUUCGAUUCCGAGGUCGAAAAGUCGUCUUCUAUUUGAGGUGGGGAGUUCUGCUCCCUUUAGAUGACAAGCUUGGGGUUUUGAGGUAGUACAGUGAAGUAGUGUGUCUGAUAGGAUAGUAUGUGUUGCCGUUUGCUGUGGAUUUGUGCAUAAUUUCGUUUGACCUUUGCUCGAGGAGUAAUGUUAAUCUCGUAUGUGUUGUAAUUACGGUAACGUGAACGUCUGAAAGCCUCUCAAUUGUUGAUUUGCCAUGAGGAAAGGCUCUCUUUUUGUGCUAGAUUGUACUUUUUGUUUGGUUGUGAUCGCCCUUCCAAUUUACCCGAAAUUCUUUGGCCCUCUGUUUUGAUAAAUUUUCCGACUUUAAAUUGGGCUACAGAACUGUUUCUUAG